rnacentral:rRNA from 1 species
GGGGAAUAUUGCACAAUGGAGGAAACUCUGAUGCAGCGACGCCGCGUGAGGGAUGAAGGUCUUCGGAUUGUAAACCUCUGUCUUCAGGGACGAUAAUGACGGUACCUGAGGAGGAAGCACCGGCUAACUACGUGCCAGCAGCCGCGGUAAAACGUAGGGUGCAAGCGUUGUCCGGAAUUACUGGGUGUAAAGGGAGCGCAGGCGGGAAGGUAAGUUGGAUGUUUAAUCUACGGGCUCAACCCGUAUCAGCAUUCAAAACUAUUUUUCUUGAGUGGUGCAGAGGUAGGCGGAAUUCCCGGUGUAGCGGUGGAAUGCGUAGAUAUCGGGAGGAACACCAGUGGCGAAGGCGGCCUGCUGGGCACUAACUGACGCUGAGGCUCGAAAGCAUGGGUAGCAAAC